rnacentral:rRNA from 1 species
ACGAACGCUGGCGGCACGCUUAACACAUGCAAGUCGAACGAGAGAAGAGAAGCUUGCUUUUCUGAUCUAGUGGCGGACGGGUGAGUAACACGUGAGCAAUCUGCCUUUCAGAGGGGGAUACCGAUUGGAAACGAUCGUUAAUACCGCAUAACAUAAUUGAACCGCAUGAUUUGAUUAUCAAAGAUUUAUCGCUGAAAGAUGAGCUCGCGUCUGAUUAGCUAGUUGGUAAGGUAACGGCUUACCAAGGCGACGAUCAGUAGCCGGACUGAGAGGUUGAUCGGCCACAUUGGGACUGAGACACGGCCCAGACUCCUACGGGAGGCAGCAGUGGGGAAUAUUGCACAAUGGAGGAAACUCUGAUGCAGCGAUGCCGCGUGAGGGAAGAAGGUUUUAGGAUUGUAAACCUCUGUCUUCAGGGACGAAAAAAAGACGGUACCUGAGGAGGAAGCUCCGGCUAACUACGUGCCAGCAGCCGCGGUAAUACGUAGGGAGCGAGCGUUGUCCGGAAUUACUGGGUGUAAAGGGAGCGUAGGCGGGAUCGCAAGUCAGAUGUGAAAACUAUGGGCUUAACCCAUAAACUGCAUUUGAAACUGUGGUUCUUGAGUGAAGUAGAGGUAAGCGGAAUUCCUAGUGUAGCGGUGAAAUGCGUAGAUAUUAGGAGGAACAUCAGUGGCGAAGGCGGCUUACUGGGCUUUAACUGACGCUGAGGCUCGAAAGCGUGGGGAGCAAACAGGAUUAGAUACCCUGGUAGUCCACGCCGUAAACGAUGAUUACUAGGUGUGGGGGGACUGACCCCUUCCGUGCCGCAGCAAACGCAAUAAGUAAUCCACCUGGGGAGUACGACCGCAAGGUUGAAACUCAAAGGAAUUGACGGGGGCCCGCACAAGCAGUGGAGUAUGUGGAUUAAUUCGAAGCAACGCGAAGAACCUUACCUGCUCUUGACAUCCCGGUGACCGGCGUGUAAUGACGCCUUUUCUUCGGAACACCGGUGACAGGUGGUGCAUGGUUGUCGUCAGCUCGUGUCGUGAGAUGUUGGGUUAAGUCCCGCAACGAGCGCAACCCUUACUGUUAGUUGCUACGCAAGAGCACUCUAGCAGGACUGCCGUUGACAAAACGGAGGAAGGUGGGGAUGACGUCAAAUCAUCAUGCCCCUUAUGACCUGGGCCUCACACGUACUACAAUGGCUGUCAACAGAGGGAUGCAAAGCCGCGAGGUGGAGCGAACCCCUAAAAGCAGUCUUAGUUCGGAUUGUAGGCUGCAACCCGCCUACAUGAAGUCGGAAUUGCUAGUAAUCGCAGAUCAGCAUGCUGCGGUGAAUACGUUCCCGGGCCUUGUACACACCGCCCGUCACGCCAUGGGAGUCGGUAACACCCGAAGCCUGUAGUCUAACCGCAAGGAGGACGCAGUCGAAGGUGGGAUUGAUGACUGGGGUG